GACGAACGCUGGCGGCGUGCUUAACACAUGCAAGUCGAACGGAAAGGCCCUGCUUUUGUGGGGUGCUCGAGUGGCGAACGGGUGAGUAACACGUGAGUAACCUGCCCUUGACUUUGGGAUAACUUCAGGAAACUGGGGCUAAUACCGGAUAGGAGCUCCUGCUGCAUGGUGGGGGUUGGAAAGUUUCGGCGGUUGGGGAUGGACUCGCGGCUUAUCAGCUUGUUGGUGGGGUAGUGGCUUACCAAGGCUUUGACGGGUAGCCGGCCUGAGAGGGUGACCGGCCACAUUGGGACUGAGAUACGGCCCAGCCUCCUACGGGAGGCAGCAGUGGGGAAUAUUGCACAAUGGGCGGAAGCCUGAUGCAGCACCGCCGCGUGCGGGAUGACGGCCUUCGGGUUGUAAACCGCUUUCGCCUGGGACGAAGCGUGAGUGACGGUAAUGGGUAAAGAAGCACCGGCUAACUACG
rnacentral:rRNA from 1 species